UGGGGAAUAUUGCACAAUGGGCGCAAGCCUGAUGCAGCCAUGCCGCGUGUGUGAAGAAGGCCUUCGGGUUGUAAAGCACUUUCAGCGAGGAGGAAGGUGGUGAACUUAAUACGUUCAUCAAUUGACGUUACUCGCAGAAGAAGCACCGGCUAACUCCGUGCCAGCAGCCGCGGUAAUACGGAGGGUGCAAGCGUUAAUCGGAAUUACUGGGCGUAAAGCGCACGCAGGCGGUUUGUUAAGUCAGAUGUGAAAUCCCCGGGCUCAACCUGGGAACUGCAUUUGAAACUGGCAAGCUAGAGUCUCGUAGAGGGGGGUAGAAUUCCAGGUGUAGCGGUGAAAUGCGUAGAGAUCUGGAGGAAUACCGGUGGCGAAGGCGGCCCCCUGGACGAAGACUGACGCUCAGGUGCGAAAGCGUGGGGCAGCAAACAGGAUUAGAUACCCUGGUAGUCACGCUGUAAACGAUGUCGAUUUUGGAGGUUGUGCCCCUUGAGGCGUGGCUUCCGGAGCUAACGCGUUAAAGUCGACCGCCU
rnacentral:rRNA from 1 species